UUAUUAGUGCAACUUCGUAUAGAUCUACCUAGAUUGUACAAUUGUAGAUCUAGUCCUACUCGGUAUAGAUCUAGAUCUAUGAUAUAGACCUCUAGUAGUAGUAUGAUGUCUGUUAAUUAGAGCUAGACCUAGAUUAGGCUAGAUAUCUAAAUCUAUUUCUAGAUAAUUAGAUCUAGUCUAGACAUAGUGACAGUCAUCUAGUCUAGAUUGACUAGAAUAGAUUCUUGAUAACAAUCAGUGAAAUGACAUAAACUUUAAUUAAAUUUAAAUAAUUUAAAGUAAUAGAAUAGAAUAGAUCUAAAUAAUUAUAACUUAUUAUAAAAUUAAAUGACUUAGAUCUAAAUAAUUAAUAAUAAUAUUAUAUAUAAUAAUAUAUAGACAUAGAGUCAGAGGUCUAUAAAGUAUAUUUACUAGACUAGUGACUAGAUCUAGAUCUAGAAUAAUCUCUAGAGAUCUAAAUAAAACUUAUACUUAAUUGAGUUGACUUAAGUGAAUACUAGUCUACUCGUCAGUAGUCUAGCUUUUUUAGACGAUGGAUCACAAAACAGAAAAUGCAUUAGGGAUAUCCUGGCAUGAUACAGCAUGGGUUCCUCAUCUAAAUCAGAGCAACAUACUGGACUACUUCUCAGAAAGAUCUAAUCCUUUUUAUGACAGGACUUGCAACAAUGAGACUAUUAAGAUGCAGAGACUAAACCCAGAUCAAAUGUUAAACAUGACAGGAUUGGAAUAUUCACUUCUACAUGCACAAGAGCCCAUUCUUUAUGUGAUACGCAAACAACAUCGCCAUUCUCCUACCCAAGUAACUCCCCUGGCUGAUUACUAUAUUAUUGCUGGAACAGUUUAUCAAAGUCCUGAUCUAUGUUCUGUUGUCAAUUCAAGACUGUUAAAUACAUUACAUAAUUUACAGUCAGCAUUUGAUGAAGCUUUAGGCUAUGCAAGAUUUCACCCAUCUCGCGGUUACUCAUGGGAGUUUAAAGUCAAAGAAGAAAAGGAACCUGCUGUUAAAGAUAAAAAAAUAAAAAAAAAAGAAGAAGCUAGUUCUGCAUUCCAAAGACAGAGAGUUGACUUGUUACUGGGAGAACUGGCUAAGAAACAUCCUCCACUUUUUAUGCCACCUCCUCCACAGCCUCCAGUAAAAGUUUCUUAAUGUUUUCUUGAGUUGAGGGGUCCCUCAAUAUAUUUGUUACAUGUGGCUAGAUGUUCCCAAAAAAAAAGUAAUUCCUCCUGAAGAAGUCAAACCUGAAAUAAAAACAGAAAAGCUUGAUGAGAAGUCAGCAGGCAAUGGUAUUAUGAGACCUCCACCAGAAAAAAGACCAAAAUUAAGAUGAUAGUUUGAAGUGCCAUGUUUUAAGAUUAUGGUGCUCUACUCUCAGUACAAUUAUUCCAAUAUGAACUGUUCCACUUGAUUUAUUGAAAAAGUGUCUGGAGAUAUCAGAUGGGCUCAAGCACAAACAUUAAUUGUGCACAAAACUUGACAAUGGUCGUUUAAUUAAAUAGACAUAAAACUUACUAGUUUAAAAUUUUUAGUAGAAAAAAAAAAAAAAUUUGAAUAAAAAUCAUGGAGGAAUUAAACUGCUCAUUCAACAAAAGAAAGUGCAAUUUACUGUCUCCAGUGAUAUGUUAGAGAGAGUAACUUACAUAAAAUAAAAGUUGACAAUGUUUCUAAGGGAUAAAUGUAUGAGUGUUCUGAAUCACAGAGAUUGUCGUACGAGUAUUCUAAAGCAAUAUUUCAGUUGAUCAUGGUUAUUUGUAAACAAAAACAAAUGUAAAUAGUUUAAUAAAGAUUACACACAAAAAUGUAAA